GGUUGGUCCGAGAUUUCAGCAGGGUAACAGUAUGGUUUUUUCGGAUCGAUCUCACAAUGAUUGGUGGCCUUUAUAUAGAGCUUUUGGGUACGAGGUUUAUUCAUCCUCACUCUCUAUGAGCUGGCGAGUGAACCAAGAUUUUUCCGUUAGGGAAAAUCUCUCACAAAUUUUGCGUGGUCCCUUCAAACGAAAGUGGUCCCAAAAUGAAGGUUUAUUCUUCCUGGAGUUUGUCUAUUAUCAUUGGUCAUGGUUAUGCGCACAGCAGCGAUGCUUCUACCUGACUUAAGGUUUGUCAUUUAUGGUUUACAAGUGAUUUGAGCCCUCCUGGAUUAACCUUGUCUAUAAAGCAUUGGUUAUAAUAAAUGAUUUCUUUUCAACAUGCUUAUGCAGUUUUUGCCUUGAGGUCUAACUGAUUGUGACCUGUUUUCCAUACGAUAUGUGCAGCCCGAAACAGAAUAUUAGCAUAUGUAUCUGUUCUUGGAAACAAUGUCCAUAUUUGCUCAAAAGAGUCAUGCCAAUUGCAGGGUUAACAUCAACUAUAGGAUGCAUAGGUUCAAGUAAUUCAAUUAUAUCCUCUAGAGGUGGUGCACAUUGCUGCAGACUGUUUACCCAACUCUUAAUCCUCUUAACUUUAAAAUCUUUAUUAGGAUAUUCACCUGAUAGAAAUUUCAUGAGCAUCCUUAUCCGAAUGCAUCAGAUAUCCUAUUGAAAAAAACAAACUGACCCUUCAUUGUCACGAUUUCAGGAACAACUUGAAGUUCGAAGUUUGAAUUCAUUUUGCCUUGAUCUUUGGGCUGCUAGUUGAAUUUGGUGAGACAUUUAGGCUUUUGGAAAACUCCAGGUUUCGUUCAUCUUCAGUUACAACUUGGCAAGGCACACCUUUCGAAUGACUUUUCCUAAGACACGUAGUUCGGCGAACUUUUCCUUCAAAUUCAAUGUAAAACUUCUUAUUGAGAUCCUCUAACUUACCAGCGAGCUCAACUGAAUCAGGGUCAAGAAUGUCAUUCUUGGAGACAUUCGUUAGCUUACUUGAUUGCUGUUUUGAAAAUGAUGAACCUAUGCUCAAAGCGAUAGACGGAUCCUUCCUGGAUGGAAUUUUGGAACUAUCGCGCAAAACUCUUGCCAUUGUUUUAGUAGAAGGUGAAUGGAUUGUGGCUGCAAGAUGGUUAAUGCAGGUCUGGCUGCUGUAAGGGUUGAGGUCAUGGUGAUUGUGAAUUUAUGAUGCUUGGCAUGGCUUUGUUGUUGUAAUGAUCCUAUGCUGAUGUAGAGUAGCAGCAUUUUGUCUUGUUUGGCCUUAGGUCCAUCAUGUGUUGUGCAUCUUGGUAUCAUGGUGUAGCAAUGCUGAAUUUGCUUUAUGUCAGUAAUUAUUCCGUAUGGCUCUUAUGGUAUUACAAAUGCAUUGCAGGUGAUGCUUGUUACUGGGUUCACGUCGGCGGUGUAUUGCGCAAAAUGAUUGUCACUUACCAUGGUUUGGUCGUCUCCUUGCUAAUGUUCAUGGCGUGACGGUUUUAAAACAAUCUCUAUCAGGGUUGGAAACUGGAGUAUUCACACACAAAUGGUUCGACCAAAGAUCAAAGAGGAACUUGAGGAUGUGAUUAAGAUUAGGAUGAAUUGUAUUUUUGGUUAAACUUUGUAAUUUUGCUUGAAACAGUAUGCCCUUUUUUAUGGGUUGUAAUAGAUGUUAUUCGUGUAUUUGAAUGUAAUUUAUGGCUCUUG